UCCACUGAGAGCGCCAUAGUCCAUACGCUUUUGUUUUGUACAAAGGGAUAUGAAAAUCUCUGUAGCACCAAAUCAGGCAGUGUGUUGUACGAGAUGUGAUUUGCCCCAUUUGAGAAGUUUGAAAACUUGGAUUGACGGAUGGGAAGGGAUUUAAUGAGUACAAAUUUCCAGCUCUGACUGUUUUUUAGGCGGUUGGUGAGGAGGAUUCAAUGUCUACUGUAGAUGGAUGAAGGUUGUUGAACAGUAGUUUACUGGGAUGGAAGCUUGCUGGGUAUGGAACUGGCUGGGUUGGAAAUCCACCGAGGCUUGCUGGUCUUGGAGGCUCGAAGGGAAUAUCUUCGCUGACGCCAAACUUGGGAGUCGAGAGUCAUUCGACGAUGAGGUUUGCGCUAGGUUGGGGAGCUCAUUGGUUGAGGCGCAGUGUUGAUGCCGAACUUUGAGGAUAUGUUUCAGUGGUGAGAGCAAGCUCCGUGCUUGGUGGUUGCCAUUUUUGGAGAGUACCUGCGCAGACGAAGCCGCUGAUUUCAGUUUGAGUGUUUGUCUGUAAAAUUUCCCCUUCUACUGGCUUGUCCAACUGUGAGUUUGUCUGUGCGAUGGCUUGGGCUUGCUAUGGAGGUUGACUUGUCGCUGAGUUGUGGAGGUCAGUUCUUAGCCAAGAACCAAAAAGGCAGAUGGGGAGGGAUGAUUUUUAAGAAUGUGUAGAAUAUCUGUGAGUGACUAUCCUCCCACGAGCAUAGCAAAAAUCAGACAAUCUCUCAUAUUUGAAUGAAACCCAUGUGUCUAUGUUGUAA